AAUCAACGCUGGCGGCGUGCCUAACACAUGCAAGUCGAGCGGGAAAGGGGGCUUCGGUCCCUGAGUAUAGCGGCGGACGGGUGAGUAACACGUGGGUAAUUUGCCCUUGGGUGUGGAAUAACUCAGGGAAACUUGAGCUAAUACCGCAUGACAUCCCCUUCACACACGAGUCGGGGAUCAAAGCCGGGGACCCUUCGGGGCCUGGCGCCUGAGGAGAAGCCCGCGCCCGAUUAGCUAGUUGGUGAGGUAAUGGCUCACCAAGGCUUCGAUCGGUAGCCGGCCUGAGAGGGCGGACGGCCACACUGGGACUGAGACACGGCCCAGACUCCUACGGGAGGCAGCAGUGGGGAAUUUUUGUCAAUGGGGGAAACCCUGAACAAGCAACGCCGCGUGGAGG
rnacentral:rRNA from 1 species